rnacentral:rRNA from 1 species
GCCUGUUUAACAAAAACACCGCCUUUUGAGUUGUAUAAUAGGUCUGACCUGCCCACUGUAAGUGAAGGGCCGCAGUAUUUUGACUGUGCAAAGGUAGCAUAAUCAUUAGUCUUUUAAUUGGAGGCUGGUAUGAAUGGUUGGAUGAGGUAACAGCUGUCUCACAUAAGUAUAGUAGAACUUAGCUUUUUAGUUAAAAGGCUAAAAUAAUAUUAGAGGACGAGAAGACCCUAUAGAUCUUUAUAAAACUAUUUGUGACAGAAGGAUGCGAUAGGGUUACAGAAAAUUUUUAUUUAGUUGGGGUGACGAGGAAAUAAAUGAACUUUCUUUAUUACAACAUUUAUUUAUGAAUAAAAGAUCCAUAUUUUGUGAUUUAAAGAGCAAGUUACCUUAGGGAUAACAGCAUAAUCUUCUUGGAGAGUUCUAAUCGAUAAGGAGGGUUGUGACCUCGAUGUUGGACUAAGAUUUAGCUUUGGUGUAGCAGCUAAAGGUAAUGGUCUGUUCGACCAAUAAUAUCUUACAUGAUCUGAGUUCAAACCGGAGCUCC